rnacentral:rRNA from 1 species
AGCAGUCGCCACGGGAAUACGUAGGUGGCAAGCGUUGUCCGGAAUUAUUGGGCGUAAAGGGCUCGCAGGCGGUUUCUUAAGUCUGAUGUGAAAGCCCCCGGCUCAACCGGGGAGGGUCAUUGGAAACUGGGAAACUUGAGUGCAGAAGAGGAGAGUGGAAUUCCACGUGUAGCGGUGAAAUGCGUAGAGAUGUGGAGGAACACCAGUGGCGAAGGCGACUCUCUGGUCUGUAACUGACGCUGAGGAGCGAAAGCGUGGGGAGCGAACAGGAUUAGAUACCCCGGUAGUCCCUGUCUCUUAUAC